rnacentral:lncRNA from 1 species
CACUGGCCCCGUCCGCAUCCUUCUCCAGCGGCCCCGGGGGCCGCCGCGCCUUAACUCGAUCAGGGCUGCAGCGGCUCGCUGGCUUGACCAGUGCAGAAGGGGCGUGGGGGUGAGGGGGGUGGGGUAGGACUCUGAACUUCAAGCACUGGAGUUUGCCGGGAUCGUGAACUUGCAGGGAGAGGCGGUCCUCAUCCAGUGAGGUACUAACAGUCUAAGCAGAAAAAGAAGAACAGAUGGUGGUAAGACCUAGAAUGUUUACCCCAUUAAGAUCUAUAUCUGAAUCCAGAAGGAACACCUCAUUGCCGAGAAGAGCCCUGCAGACAGUUCACACCUCUGUUUCUUUUGCAAGAUAUAGCUACCUCAAAAAAUCCUUUCUUGAUCAAACUCUUAUGGCCUGGAAUCCUUGCGUUUCUGCUGAUGACUGUCAUUUUAGAGUACUUACUAAAGACAAUGGUUGGGGAAAUAGAUAUUUUAAAAAUAAGGGAAGAAGUGGGUAGGGUAAACCCAGGCUUACUUAUGUAAACUCUGAGUGCUGAAGUUAGAAGACAACCUUUAAGAUUAAAAAAA